rnacentral:lncRNA from 10 species
GAAAUUAAUUAAUCAAAAAAUCAAUCUUUUGUCAGACCAAAAGCUUGAAAACAAAAUAUGGCCUGUAUAACUAUAUUUCAUGGAAAAAAUAAUAAUCCAAACCAUUUCUCAGUGGCGUUUGUUCCUGGUUCCUUUUCCAGUACAUUCAUUCACUCAUGAAAAAUCAUUUUUGGGCUCAAAUGGUAGAGAAAACAAAGCCAAAAUUCUGAGCAGCAGUCCCAACCCUAGGAAGCUGUGUGGUUAUAUUAUCUAACAUCUAAAGGGCUAUUUAACCAUUCUAGGACUUGGUUUUGUCAUUUGUAAAAGGAGUGAAAUAACAGAAGCUGCCUUACAGGAUCGUUGUAAAGAUUAAUGUGUGAAUAUACGUGAGCCACUUAGAACAAUGGCUGGUACAUAGUAAGUACUAUUUGAGUGAUAGCUUUCAUUAUCAUCAUCAUUCAACAACAAUAUUGUUAUUCCAGGCUUGGGGAGCAUAAACACGAAUAGGACAGGACCUCUUUUUCUCUAAAGAUGCAUAGUCCGGCUAGAGAAAGCAUGUAGGUAAACAGUGCAGGAAGGGGAGAGAAUCACUGUAAUGGGGAAAUGUGCUAGCAACUCCAAAUGGGAGAUUGCAGAGAAGGCUGUCAGAGAAAUAGGCUGUUGAGCUGGGUUUUGAUGACUGACAAGGCAUUUUCCAGGUAGAGGAGGGAAAAGUGAUCUGGGCUGAAGGAUGUCACUUUGUGUUUAGCAAUCCUGAGGUUGCCUUAAAUCAGCCUCAAUCACUUCUGUUGAGUAGAAGCCUAUGCUUUCUGUCCUGCCCUGGUUCUUGGCUGCAGGUCACAAAACAUUUCAGUCCAUUCAAGAAUCCUUGAGAGCUCUCCUGGGGACCUCCUGGGCAAUGCAGAGGUCAGACAGCAGAGCCACAUUCUCAGGGAGAGUGGCACAGUCAAGGGAGAAGACAGGUGAAGAGAAUGUUUUCCUGUGAAGGUGGUGAGCUGAUUGCCUUAGAGAGCGUGAGCUCCUGCCUUAGAGAGCAGGUGAACUCUCUCCAAGAAAGCAAAUGGAAACAAGCAAGCAAAACACGUUUCUUUCUCUUGUGUCUACACCCCCAGCCCCCACCACCCAUGAGUAAAGUGUCUUAUCUAGGUCUUACAAUCAGCCUUCCUAUCCAAUAUUCAGAUUUAUCUGAACAUGAGACCCAACGGUAACUCUUGUCCCCCACGGCUCACGUGAUGUAAAGGCUUACCUGGAGGAUCUCGCCUAUUCAUAGCAUCUUUGUCUCCAUGUCCUUAUCAUCAUGUCCUCUUUCGGGAAGCAAAAGAAAAGACCUUUUGCUCAUUUCACUUACUUGAGGAGACUGUUUCAAAUUGCUAUUUCUAUAUGGCAAAUUUUACCUCCACCCUGACUUAACUAGGUGAGGGUAGAAAAUGAGACCUGUGGAACAGAGGAAAAGCGAAUGCAAGGGGAUGAGCGGCAGCAGCAAGAACAUCCUGGACCAUUGGGGUGAGAUCAAUGAAACCCACACUGGAGCCCAGGCCCUGAUGUCCCCUGAGCUCCUCCUCCACAGCCUGUCAACUCCUGUGUCUCUGCAGUCCUAAAUAAACAAGAAGCAGCAGGAGUUGAUUUGGGUUUAGUCAUGGAUGGCUCCCUACUCUCUCUUCGUAUUGAAGCUCAUUUUAUCCAAGAUGUUAUACAGAUGAGGGACUUACUGCUAACCUUGUUCUCAGGGAAGCUCCAAACUAAAGAAUCAAAAAAUAUGAUAAACUUGGGCCAAAAAUCCCAUCCACAGUUAUGGGAAUACCAUGACUGGGCAUAUGAGACACCUGAUUUUCAGCCUAAGGAAGCACCAUCGGCGAGACAUACAGUAUCACAAUCUGGCUAUAUUUUAUGCUCCCUUUCCAUCAGUCUGGGAUAAAUUGUGUGUGUCAAGUUCGGCAAGCAUGGGUGAGCUAAAUGGAGCUGUUAGCUGUCUUUUCAACAUAUUUAUCUGUUUCAUUGCCUACUCUAGGAUGUCUUUGUGAUCAUUAUAUAGGGAUCACAGAUAAUAGACUAUUUGAAAUCUUACUUCAAUUAAAACUUAAUCCUCAGAUGUCAAUAACAGUGUUUUAUACAUAAGGUUACAAUAAAAACAAUGUCUUUUGUGCAUAUCAUUAAAACAACAACAGAAAAUCAAGAAUAAGAAAUGGCCUGAACAUUUUCUAAAACAAGAUGCUCUACUAUGUCGUGUACCUUGUCACUGUGAUAAAAUUAUG